GAUUAACGCUGGCGGCGUGCCUAACACAUGCAAGUCGAGCGGCAGCGAGUUUUACACUGAAUUCUGGAAGCUUCUAGUUGAAAGAGAAGAUUUAUUCAAGAAUUUUGUGUAAAAUGUCGGCGAGCGGCGGACGGCUGAGUAACGCGUGGGAACGUACCCCAAAGUGAGGGAUAACGCAUCGAAAGGUGUGCUAAUACCGCAUAUGGUCUUCGGAUUAAAGCCUUCGGGCGCUUUGGGAACGGCCUGCGUAAGAUUAGAUAGUUGGUGGGGUAAUGGCCUACCAAGUCGACGAUCUUUAACUGGUUUGAGAGGAUGACCAGUCAGACUGGAACUGAGACACGGUCCAGACUCCUACGGGAGGCAGCAGUGAGGAAUCUUCCACAAUGGGCGAAAGCCUGAUGGAGCAACGCCGCGUGCAGGAUGAAGGCCUUCGGGUUGUAAACUGCUUUUAUAAGUGAGGAUUAUGACAGUAACUUAUGAAUAAGGAUCGGCUAACUACGUG
rnacentral:rRNA from 1 species